UACGAGAGGCCCAAACGUUAUUCGGAAUUACUGGGCUUAAAGAGUUCGUAGGCGGCAUUGCAAGGAGGGUGUGAAAGCCCUCGGCUCAACCGAGGAAUUGCGCUCUAAACUGCAGUGCUUGAGGAACCUAGAGGUGAGCAGAACAGAUGGUGGAGCGGUGAAAUGCGUUGAUAUCAUCUGGAAUACCGGAGGCGAAGGCGGCUCACUGGGAGUUUUCUGACGCUGAGGAACGAAAGCCAGGGUAGCGAACGGG
rnacentral:rRNA from 1 species